AGCAGCAGCGCGUUCCAGCUCCUGGGCAUGGCGGAUCUGGGGAUUCUGCCGAAGGUCUUUGCGGUCCGGUCCAAAUGGUUCGACACCCCCUGGUUGGGGAUACUGUUGUCCACGGCCAUCUGCCUCGGGUUUUCCUACAUGAACUUCACCUCGAUCAUAUCAUCGGCCAAUUUCCUGUACAGCCUGGGGAUGCUGCUGGAGUUUGCGUCCUUCCUGUGGCUGCGAAGGAAGAUGCCAACGCUGAAGAGGCCGUACCAGAUCCCGCUAAGCCUGCCGUGGCUGGCAGCUCUGAGCCUGGUGCCGUGCGCAUUCUUGGUGGUGAUCAUGGUGUACGCCACGAAGGUUGUGUACUUGGUGAGCGGGCUUAUGACUGUAGGCGGGAUUGCGUGGUUCUUCUUGAUGAGGCUGUGCAAGUCCAGGAAGAUACUCAAGUUCAGCAAUGGUGACAUUGGUGAGGUUCUUGGAGAGGACCGAUGAUAGUUGAGGUGUGCCAUUUAGAAUCAUAGAAGAAAUCUGGGUAGAUAGAAAAGAUUCGUUUUAUUUUGCUGUUUUUCUCUCCUUCUUGGACAUGUUUCCGGAUGAUCAUGCUGUAAAUUUGAUGGAUUUAUCUGGAAGCAAAUCAGGCUUUGUUCUUUCAGGUAUGGUAAAUUACUUGGCCGGCAAUCUGCAUACUUCAUGUCCAGGCCGACUCACCAGCAAUGUCUACAGCCCUGCUUAGAUUAUAAGCUUAGUCGAUUUCAGGAUCUUACAGCUAGCUGUGACCUCUUUUGCCUAGCGAGAAAUGCUUAUAUGAUUGUCGUGAGAAUAACGACCUGUUUUGUAUUAAUCGAUGCUGAAAAUGGAGGGGCCAGAAUAUACCCUGAUAAUCCUUGAGAAUUUCGCAAUUUUCCCUUUGCAGAAUCAAAGUCGCAUUCUCCGUCGACAAGUUUUGCCCCCAAAGCUUAGAUUCCACGCAGCAAUGCGAGACCAGCAAAGGGCAGCAACCAUCGCUUCCACAUUUCAAUUUGAUUCCUCAAAGGAGAGAGAAUAUAUACUGUUAAUAUAUUAUGUGUGUACUAUAGAUAAUUUGUGAAUUUCUGCUAAAAAUACACUACAAGUAGCUAGUGUUGAGCGAAUGAUUACAUUGAAUUGUACGAAUUAUUCUCUUAUCUUCACAUUUACCCUUUGUAUGGAUAAAUAUUAUAAAAGUACUUCUUUCUUGUAUUUACCACUAGUAUUAAUAUAUACGGGAAAAUUGUCCAAUCAAUCCUAAUCUUGUUGUCGAAUGCUAAUUUAGUAUUAAAAUUUUCAAUUUUGUUAAUUGAGUGUUAAACAUUUGCGUCAAAUUUCAAUAUAAUCCUUUCGAGCAAUUUUUGACGGAAAUUGUUAAUGACUAGAUCGCUAUUUCAGCGAUGCCCAGCGAGAAUGAAUCGGUGGAAUGACUAAAUUGGCUAAAACGGAAUGUUUAUGACUGAAAUUUGUAUCCAUACAAAAGAGUUAGGACUGAAUGGAUAAUUUUUCCCUAUAUAUACUAUAUAACCAUUUCAUAUGCUUUUCCCAUUUGAAAAAGGGCAACACUAUUUCCACUCCCUAUAUAACUAAACCCACCUCCAUUUUCACGAAAAUCCUCAAUUUUAUUUACAAUCUAAAGUGGUGGCUUCAAAUUAUUUAGAGAUAAGUGUAAUAGAAAUUCUAAAACUUGUCAGUGUCUUAAAACUUACAAAAAUUGCAAUCAAGUUAUAAAACUUAUCAAAUUGAUUCAAUUGAGUCCUAAUAUUAAUACCAUCAAACUUAGUAAUGGAAAAUGUUGACAUGGCGCGAACAUGACCUUUUAAAUGAAUUUUUAUUUUCCACAUGGCUUAUUUAAUUAUUUUUUAUUCAAUUAUUUUUUUUAAAAAUUAGAUUUAGAAACUAAAAAAGAAAAGCUAAAAUUUAUUUAAAAAAUAAAAUCGCCCCCCCCCCCCCCCCCAAAAAAAAGAAGCGUCGGUGGGCUUUUCCACCACUGCUGCCCAUUGUUGGAGGGGUUAGCGAUGGUCAUUGGCCCUAGGCGAGGGGCCUUAGCUCAACUAGGGCGAGGCCUUGCUACGCUUGAGCGCGGGCGCCCAAAUCUAGGCACGCCGACCCCCUCGCCUUGUGCUAGCGAGGCCUUGCCUUGGUCGAGUGAGGGUUGACCACCCUCGCCCAAGGUAGGCGACCAUCAUUAGCCCCUUCGUUGAUGGGUAGCGGCCUAAGUAGCACGGACACGUGACACGAACACGCGACAUGACACAACACGACACGUCGACACGUCAUUUCUCAAAAAUAAAGAAUUCCGACACGUCGGGACAUGUUGUAUUUAAAUGAAUAUUUUUAUUUUAAUUAAUUUGAUUCAAAUUCAUAAAUAAAUAAUUAAUUAAAAAAGAGCUUACAAUGAAUUUACACUAAUAAUAUUAAUAAGUCAAUUCAUUGAAAAUUCAAAAAACAUAUUCAUAGUUAAUGUGUAUCUAUGUUUAGAAACGUGUUUUUAACUUUAACAAAAGUUAUUGAUGAAACUAAUGAUUAAUAAAAAAUUAGAAUCAAUUUAUUUAAAUAAAUCCAUGAUCUUCUACAAAGGACCAAAAUUUAUCAUUAUUCAAAAUUCAGUACUUUUAUUUUUCAAAAUUAUUUUUUAUUUCCCUCCCCCACCACCCGACAGUGACAGAUAAGCUGUCACUUCCCCUCCCCCCAAAAUUAAAACUCACCCAUCAGAUCUCCUUUUUUUUUUUUUUUUUUUUUUGAAUUUUCUUAUUAAAAACCCUAGCCAGCCCUCCUUUUUCUCUUCCUCCUUCCCUCUCCUCCUCCUCCUCGCCACACGACCUCCUUCCUCUCCUCUUCCGUCUCUCGCCGUCACUCGCAGCUCGUCUCACUCGCAGCUCGUCUCUGCUCCCUUGCCCUCACCUCCACCCUCCAUCUUUCGGACACUCAUGUCAAAACGUGUUUGGCCACGUGUCGGAAAAUCCGACACGCGUUGACUGCGUGUCUGACCAUGUCGACGUGUCCGACACGCUCCGACAUGUGUCAGACAUGACACGGAAGCACGGGCAACGUGUCUGUGCUUCAUAGGUGGCGGCAAUGGCGGAAGCACCCACUGGUACCAAUUUAUUUUUUUGAACAAUUUUGUUUUAAAAUAAAUUUUAGCUUUUCUUUUUUAGUUUUUAAAUCUAAUUUUUUAAAAAAAAUUGAAUAAUAAUAAUAAUUUUAAAAAAUCAUGUGGAAAAUAAAAAAUUUAAAAUUCCAUAUGGAAAAUAAAUUUUUAUUUAAAAUGCUACGUCCGCGUCACGUCAGCGGUUUCCGUUAGUAAGUUUGACGAUGUUAACUUUAGAACUUAAUUAAAUUGAUUUGACAAAUUUUAUGAUUUGAUUGCACUUUUUGCAAGUUUUAUGAUUCAAUUGCAUUUUUUGAUCUAAGACUUCUUUUGUGCUUAUCCCAAUUAUUUACUUUCCUUCUUUUUCUUAGUUUAUAUUAUUCUAUGUGGGAUAUAAUUGUCAUAGCUAAAAAUAUUACAUGCUUGUUUUUGUUUAUAAUUUUUGGUCAAAUUUGAACUUUUUACUAUUUAGAAAAUAAAAACUAACCUCUUCUGCAUCAUUGCUUUUAUAAUAACUUAUCUAUCAAAAGCUUACUUUUUUGGUAACUUUUUUAUUUUCUAAUUUCGUUAGUCUAAAAUAUAUAUUAAAUCUCUAUAUUACUAUAUCAAAGGAUUUGCCUUUUUUAUUACUAUUGACAAGAUGCUUUGACAGGGAGCAUGUAAGAUAUUAAAGAAGUGUUUAGAAAAAAACGCUAACAACAUCUACAUGAAAAAGUUAUGCACAAUGAGGGAUCUUGAUAUUGUUCGUAAACACUACACGAAUGUUAUUCAUUCUUGUUAAUCCAAAAUAAUGAAAUUUCAAUGGUAAUUUACCAAAAUAAAAAAUCUUAUUUUAUGCAAAGCUUCGAUGUAAUUACAUUCCAUCUUUUGAAAUUUCAUGAACAGGAAAGUAACUGUGAUUUUGUUUUGGAAAGGCUUUAAAGAGUUUUUUUUUUUGUCUCGUCCAAUCAUCCCACAAGUUGUAUACGUACAUAUAACACAACUAAUAAAAAAGAUUUGAUGAUGAUAUGCACAACUAAAAAGGAAAAUUUUAUGUCAAAAAAUUUGUCUAUGUUAAAUCUUUUCUAAAUUUUACUGGAUUAAUCUAGAAAUUUGCUUGACAAUGUAGAAAUAACUAGAUUUCUUCGAAAUUUCUCUUUUGGAUAAACUAGUUUUUAUGGAAGUAAAAUCGAAAAAUAAAGAGAAAACAUAAUGCAUUUAAUGUAUAUGAGAUAAGACAAUGAACAAGAACAAAAUGUGUGAUAUUCUUAGUUAUGGCGAUUAGGUCCUAUAGAGAAAUAGAAAAUCUAAUAAAAGAAGAAAGUAAAUAAAUUGGGGGCUAUCACUUUAAAUUGUAAUCGUAUAAUUAAAGGUAACUUCGUCUUUUUAACAAAAAUGGGGUGCAUUUAGUCAUAUAAAGGAUGGAAAUAGUGCCACCCAAAACUUAAAAAAUUAUCUAAAAUUUUAUGAUCUGCGAAUAUUCUCUCAAUUUGUUCUCGCUUAUCUGGAAAUCCAGUAAAAAUACUCACCAGGAUCUUGUUAUGUGCAGUUUUCUUCUCUCUCGGCUAUCUUAUUAACAUUGAAUCAAAAACCUCAAUUAUCUCUAACAUGAUAACACCCCUCUCCUCAUGUUUUUAAUUGAGUUUAUCUAUUUUGGAUAUUUUAUUACGAUUACGCCUCUCUCUUCUGGGACAUAUACCUCGUUAGACAAUGCGGAUCCACAUAAGACCUACACAAUCCGACGUAUCACCUGUAUUGCGCCUACUACACCUGAUACGGACGAUGAAUUAUCGCGUAAUACAUACACAUAAGCACCUUCUUCCAAUAAGACCAUGCAUUAUGCGACACUACUUCUAGUACAUUGAUUUUGGACUACAAGUCCUAUUGGCUAACGUUAAUUAAAGGGUCUUAAAUAGAAAGCAUAAGGACCCACUUCUUCCUUUUUUCAUGAAGAAUGGCCACGGCUGAAUACAAAAGUUUAAAUUGUAAACCUGCUUUGCCUAUUCUAUCACCUGAUAAAAUAUUAAAUAACUCUCUAGAAUGUAAUGAAACAAAACCAAUGUCCAAGCACUUGUUGAUUCCAUAAUUUUUUUUUUUUUUUUGUCAGAGUUGAUUUCAUAAUUAGCAAGCGAGUCAACGGAGCGAUUUGCUUUAUGAGAGUUAUGUUGCACUUUAAAUUCAAAUUGAGAGCGCAACAAUCUUAUGAUAAGCGAGGUCAGCAUUCAAGCAUAAGUUCUGGACUAACAAGAUCGGUGAUGGCUUUAUAGUCAAUCUUAACAAUGAUCUUAUGAAAAACAAUAUCAGCGUAUUUGUAAAAAUGUUCCUUAUUUUUUAUUCUGUGAAAAUGAAAAUACUAUUAUGUUCCUCAACUUUUUCUUUUCUUGAAAACCCAUUUGGUUGGUGAAGUUGUUUUGCUAGUAAGAGUGACAAAUUUGAAAACAUAUAUCCCAUCUUCAAAAUUAAGCAAUAGAAUGGGAAAAUUGAUGAAAACAUUCUUUGUUUUCAUUUUUCUUUUCUCUUAGAUAAUAACUUGAAAAGAAGUUAACUCGAUGUUUUGAGACAUGAUUAUUAACGUAUAUGAAACAUGUUUGAUUCACAACAAGAAGUUUUCAUAGAAAAUUGGAUUUCGUGAAGAAGUCCAUUUUUUAUCCAGAAUAAUGAAAAAUAUGUAAGGGUGCGUUUGUUUAUGUUUAUGUUCAAAAAUUGUUCCGGGGAACAGAAAUAGAAAAAACUAUUUCUGUUCCGGGGAACAAUUUUUUACCAGAAAGACGCGUUUGGUAAACUUGUUUCGAGAAUAAAAAAUGAAUAGAAACACGUUUGGUAAAUUUGUAUUCUUUUUUUUGUUUCUUUUAAUUUUUAAAUAUUUUUAUUUUAUUUUUCCUUUUUUUAUUUUUUUUUUCUUUUGGCCGAUCGCCGGCCUCGGCCAUGGCCGGCAACCGGUCGACGAGGGCCGGCGGCCUCGCCCAACCACGGCGAGGCUCGCCGGCCCCCGACGAGGCCGAGCCUCGCCGUGGUUGGGCGAGGCUCGGCCUCACCGUGGUUGGGCGAACUUGGGCUCACCCAGAUCUAGUAAGGCCGAGCUCGCCCAGCCACCGGCCCCGCGCCGGCGAGGCUCGGCCUCGCCUUGGUUGGGCGAGAUCGGGCUCGCCCAGAUUCGGCGAGGCCGAGCCUCGCCGAUGGUGGGCGAGCUCAGCCUCGCCAGAUUUGGGUGAGCUCGAGCUCGCCCAGCCAAGGUAAGGCCAAGCCUUGCCAGGGGCCGGCGACGCUUGGCCUCACCGGGGGCCGGCGACCCUCCGGCGAGGUCGCCGGCCAAAGAAAAAAGAAGAAAAAGAAAAAGAGAAGAAAAGAAAUAAGAGAGAGAAAAUUUGUUCUUCAAAAGUGUUUCUAGAACAAAAAAAUAACUUUUUUUUCUUAUUUCUGUUCUAAUUUUGUUCCCGGAACAAAAAAACAGGUUUUGAACAAAAACGCAAACAAAUGCGUUUCUAUUCUUUUUUUGUUCUCGGGAACAAAAAAACAAAAAAUCUGUUCAUGAACAAAAUUUAAAAACGCAACCAUGCACGCCCUAAAAGGCCACUGUUUUUCCGAGAUGAAAAAUUAAUUUAUUGCAAAUGUGUUAGGGGUAUCAAUUUAGGAGUGUUAAUAACAUUAAACUUUUCUUUGUUCUCCAUUAAUUUAGUUUGAGGAAGCUUCCCUAAAACUUGGUUCAAACCAACAACCCGAAAGGCCAAAGCCCUUUAGAUGAAAGAUGCCGUUGAAGCUUUUAUUACAUGUAAGACAACUCAAGGUUGUUUGCAAAGUUAUCAGGAAGUCAGGCCGAAAAGGUCAAUAGGCUUAUCCCGCGUAAUUAAAUGCAGAAGAUUUCCCUUUCCGCGAAUUGAGUUUCUUGCGUCAUGGGAGUGAAUAUAAGGGCAACUGACUAAGCACUUUUUACUCCGAUUAAGGCAUGUUUACAGCUGCUUCGUGCGAGCUGGAGCAGAGGAGACGACGGAUGAGAAAUAGAUUCUUGUGGCUUUGAUUCUUCAAAUCCCGAUCCCACUUUCUCUAAUAUAUGAACCCAUCUCACGGGUUUUCCUACAUGAACUUCACCUCGAUCAUAUCAUCGGCCAACUUCCUGUACAGCCUGGGGAUGCUGCUGGAGUUUGAGUCCUUCCUGUGGCUGCGAAGGAAGAUGCCGAUGCUGAAGAGGCCG
rnacentral:lncRNA from 1 species